rnacentral:rRNA from 1 species
AUUGAACGCUGGCGGCAGGCCUAACACAUGCAAGUCGAACGAGUGGCGGACGGGUGAGUAAUGUCUGGGAAACUGCCCGAUGGAGGGGGAUAACUACUGGAAACGGUAGCUAAUACCGCAUACCAUCGGAUGUGCCCAGAUGGGAUUAGCUUGUAGGUGAGGGAACGGCUCACCUAGGCGACGAUCCCUAGCUGGUCUGAGAGGAUGACCAGCGACACUGGAACUGAGACACGGUCCAGACGCCUACGGGAGGCAGCAGGCGGGAAUAUUGAGCAUGGGGCGCAAGCCUGAUACAGCCAUGCCGCGUGGAUGAAGAAGGCCUUCGGGUUUUAAAGUACUUUCAGCGGGGAGGCGUUACCCGCAGAAGAAGCACCGGCUAACUCCGUGCCAGCCGCCGCGGUAAUAC